rnacentral:lncRNA from 1 species
AUACUGCCGGAACUGUGGCUAAUGGUGCGGACCACCCUGCUCACUGUUAGCAAAGUGGGUAGCUACCCUCUCUUCUGGAAGCCCCUCUGCAGCACUCCUCUUGGGAGUAGAAAAGGAAGUGGUCAAGACCUACAUUUGGGAGCUGAUCCGUCUUGCUCUCAGUUAGGGCCCAGCCCUUCUGUGGGGACCAGGAAAAUCUUUGCUCACCUGGAGAAGCUGCUGGUUCAGCCCAACUUUAUCUAACGCCAAAGCCUCAUUUAAGGCACUGAGCUUGACAGCUGCAGCCCGAAGAUCAGCUACUUCUGUCUUCAGGGUGUUUUCAGAACUCGACAGCUCUGCAAUUGACUGCUCUGCCUAAAAAACAAAAAGGAUUAAAGAGUUUCAUAUUUCCAAUUUUCCUGGAACAGUAAACAGUUCACAUUCCCAACACUGCUGCUUUUUGGUACAAGGAACUGGGGCACAGGAGAGGAGGGAAAUACAGCAAAGAUGAAGAUAUAUCCCU